rnacentral:rRNA from 1 species
UCCUACGGGAGGCAGCAGUCGAGAGGCAUCCGCAAUGGGCGAAAGCCCGACGGUGCGACGCCGCGUGGACGAUGAAGGCCUUCGGGUUGUAAAGUCCUGUCACAGGGGGGAGAACAAGCCCCAUCUCAAUAGGAUGGGGCUCUGACGUUGCCCCUGGAGAAAGACCCGGCUAACUCCGUGCCAGCAGCCGCGGUAAUACGGAGGGGUCGAGCGUUAUUCGGAUUCACUGGGCGUAAAGGGCGCGUAGGCGGGGUCGUGGGUCGGCCGUGAAAUCCACCGGCUCAACCGGUGAACUGCGGUCGAAACUACGACUCUUGAGCUCGGUAGAGGAAGGCGGAAUUCCUGGUGUAGCGGUGGAAUGCGUAGAUAUCAGGAAGAACACCGGUAGCGAAGGCGGCCUUCUGGGCCGUAGCUGACGCUGAGGCGCGAAAGCCGGGGGAGCGAACAGGAUUAGAUACCCUGGUAGUCCCGGCCGUAAACGAUGGGUACUAGGUGUAGGGGGUACUGACCCCCUCUGUGCCGCAGUUAACGCAUUAAGUACCCCGCCUGGGGAGUACGCGCGCAAGCGUGAAACUCAAAUGAAUUGACGG